UUUCGCGGGCUUGUGCAGUUGACCGGUUAGCUAAAUUGGAUCUGAAGAGAGAGCAUUGAGACCAUGAGAAUGUCAUGCCAUGCUAGCUGGCGUGAUAUGUCCAGUCACGGGAGGGAAGGAGCACAAACAAAAUGGUGACAGAGGACUGAGCUGGUGACCAAUAAGAAGACAAACAACUGUCUUCAAGUUUGGUGAUUUACCAUCUAAAAAAUGAGAGGUAUAAUUCUUCAGAGUGAACGCUUGUUUGUACUAAGAUUUGGUAAGUUGAGCUUGCUUGUUGAUGUAUCCAAGGUUGUCGCGAUGAAGGCCACCAAGAUGGAUGCAGGACAUGGAGAUCAAAAACUCCUGCGACACUGAUAGAGAGGAUGCUGGCGCCAUGAAGCGGCUUGUGCCGACGUUGAUGAGAUUUCCCGCUUAGAAUUAAAACAUCACAACGUACUCAUUUCACGUAUUGCCACAAUGAUACCUGUGUACAUAGACAUAUUAUUACAAUUAAAUAUUUGUGAAAAUGUUAUCAUGCAUGUGGACUUAUGAGGAAAAGAAGCCCUUUCUGUAGUCUAAAUGAUUGACUCGGCCAUAUUGGAGUUCAGGGAUUAUACCUAGAAAUCUAUAACCCGAAAAGGUAGCUGAAAUUCUUAAUCAGAGAAAGUUGGUUUCUGAGUUAAUUAUGAUCGGUCUUUUAUCUAAAUGCCUAUAAAAGGAGAAGAGCAAGGCAAAUCAGGAUUUAUCCAUUAUGGUUUUCUUGAUUGACAUUAAUUGAAACAGGGUAGGAAACACAGGUUGGUUUUCCCGGCUGAGACAAACUCACUAAUUUGUUAGCAAACCUGAUAUUUGUAGAAAGUACUCCCUCUGAUACUAAAUCAAUAUCAAUAGAUUCGCUAUAAAGUAUAUUUUGUCAAUAUGUCUACUCAAUAUUUGGUCAAACUUAGUAGGGUUUGUCUUUUGACUAACUUAUACGCCCUGUAUUUUGAGAGUACCUUCUAGCAGAAAUAAAAUUGCUGGUAUAGACCAUGAGCUCACAUCUACUGGACAGUUUGUAUCAGUUGUGAAAUUUCUCCUACCACACCUCUGCAUUCUUUUGAGUGACAAACGAGAUUUUUUCUCCUAAAACUAUAAUGUCGGAUGUUGUUUCUACUAAGGUAGAUGCAUUCAUGAUUUUUUUUGUCACUGCCUAUGGUAUUGGUGCAUACAGCUAUAUGUUCUGUCAUGAAUGUCAACCAUCUUAUGGAAGCUGUAAUAAAUAAUUUUUUAUGCUUCGUUUCCAUAAAUAUUACACAUAAAUAGCAUGUAAAGAUCAUUCACUAUGCAUGGUGUGCUCAGGACAAGGCUAAUGUAGCACUAGCUUCUUUUCGGGGUUUUAGGAGCAUGAAGAAUAUCUGGUCGAGAAUAUUCCAGUGAUCCAAGCCUUUGUCAUGGGUAAUCAAAAACAAAUAUAGAACAUGUGAGUUAUACCUGUUAGUUUCCCACAAAGAACGAAAUUGUGUUGUAUGAUGAACGAAUGGAUGUGAUGGUUCAUCAAUUGGUUGCGCAUACCGACGAUAUUAGCAAAUACAUUUGUAAUUGAUAUGUACAGUUCAGUUUUUCGGGUGAGGAUCAGAGAUUACUCAAAUGUCUUGAGUUUUAUCUUCGUAUAUGAGAUCAUGUUCAGUUUACUCAGUGUGAUUCACUUAAUGUUUUGGUGGUCAACUCCACCCCUUUUCCGAUCUUUGUGCUUCUAUGCCAGGCAACCUUAUGUAUAAGUACAUAUCUUAUUAUCUGUUCCGUUCAGGGCCACAGGAUAAUAUGAAGUUUCUCAUGCUACAUGUGAACAAAAUCAAAAGGAUGCUCGUGUUUCUUUGCAACACAGUUUCGGUAUCCUUUUCAGAAUAUGAUUUGAUACUCUGUACCGGUGUUCAUGCAACCCAAUUUAAGGUUGUGGUGUUUAUACUUUUUCCAUUUAUGGAUGAAAUAGUACUUGUAUAGGGAAAUCCAUUUCUCUUCAUAGUUAGAGAUAAAGUAUGGGUUCUUCAGGUUUGUUAUUUUUUAAAUUGAAUUCUCCCGAUGAAUAGAGCUUGCAUGUUUCCUUUUUCAGAUUUAGCGUCUCAAAUGAAAGGCACACAAAGCUGCAUUCCGUUUGUUAGUAUUUGGGUUCUUCAGGUCGGUUAAAAGGACUCAUUUUUAUAUUUACUAGGAUUGUUGUAAGGGUUUAUGAACUUUAGUGAAGUUAUUUAUAUAAGGUCUUUAAUUUGUUUGGCUUAUGAUCUAGAGUUGUCCAGAUUACUCGGGCUUGAUAGCAGUACUAGCCACCACCUGCCUGUGCCUCAGAUCCACCUACGUUUCCCUGAGAUGAUUCGCAGAUAAUUCCCAAUGCGGUUAAUUUCAUUCUAUGUAUAAUUAAUAUGUUUCCUUGAGAUGAUAUUUCAUGACUUUUAUGUGACAUGCGACUGUAGUUCAAUCAGGAAAAUGCAUGUCAUAAGUGAUGGCAAGGAAAUCAGAACGUAGAAUGGUAUAUUUAUCUGAAAUUACAUUUGUAUUUGGAAUUUGCAAGUAUUUAGUUUGCUUUUUGUAUCAUUGACCAAUGCAUCCAAUCUCCCAUGUAACAUGUGGUAGUUGCUGGAUUGAGGCAUCUGUUUUCUAACAUUAUUUCUACAAUGCCAGGUGUCACACUAUGAAGUACAAGGAGGAUUUGCAUGGCCAAGAGCAAAGAGAGAUUUGUCAAGGUAGUGCCACGGAAAGUGCAGAGCUCUUGAUCAUCAUGACGAUGCCAAAGAAGUCAUCAUAGCUUCAUCUGAACACACUGGAUUUUUCCAUGACAAGAUUUUUACUUGGUUGCGGCUGCUUUGUUGAUAUGCUCUGGCUUAAGACUUUUUUUUGCAUUCAGUAGUAACACAAAUAUUGCUCACGUUAUUUCCUCUAUAUAUCUUCUAU